AUUCUUCACCUCCCAUUGUCUCUGUCUCUCUCUUUCUCCUCUGCUUCCCCUCACCCCACAACCAAAGUCAAGAGCGCAGACCCCAUGGUAAGGAUUCUCAUCUUCAUCCCACAGCCAGGACUUGGCAAUAUCUUUUAUCAAGGGUUUUAACAGGACAUUCGCAGUCUUUCUCCUAACCACACGGUUGGGGGCGGGGGUGCAAUGAAUGCUGGAAGCCCAAGGGCAGCGUUGGGACGGAGCUAGUCAAUGUGGCCUACGGACCCUCUGGGUGUCACAUGGCCACUAGGAAGCCCUUGAGCAAAAGCUCCGCAGCACCAAAGAUUCCUGUGCUCUUCUGGAUGCCCAGCCUCCCUUGUAUGAGGUUGGAGCCUCGACUUGCUGACUUCUGGCUAACGAAAUAAGCACAGUGAGAUAAGCUGCGUGAAGCAUGCCCCUUACAGACAGCCUGCAAGAUCCUUCAGCUCUUUCUUCCUCCACCACAGUGGCCUUAGAUGGCACAUAUACCAGAUGGUAGAGCUCUGAGACAGAGCCCGCUUGACCCACCUGUUAUUGGACUUCGAUGUCAGCAAGAAACAAAUGUUUGCGGUAACAUUAAGCCACUGAUGUGUCAAGAUCACCUGAUACUUCCAAGCAAGCAGGUGUUCUUUUCAGAAGCCAGAAGCUGAUAACCUGGGCUUUCUGAUCUAACCCCAGCCCAAAUUCAUUGCAAUGGAGGAAUUGGGGAGGAGAUUCUUCCUACUGAGAAGUGGGUGCCAACUCUCCCUUUCAAAUUUGUUCAUCAACAAACUAAAGGGGAUGCCAGAAAUGUCUGGAGCAAUGGAAGAACCACUGGAAUAAUGCUCCUGCCUGAUUGUAUCUACUUAACCCACUCUCCAAGAGCCAGAAUCAGAUUUCAACCGUAUGGAAUCAUCUACAAUGCAGCAGAUGGGUUUACAAGUCUCUUGGUCUCUUCAUAAGGCGCAGCAAUCGUGUCCCAAGUCCUUGAGGACUUCACAGGGUGUUCUAGUGUCCUGAGAAUAUACCUGCCUAAGAUCUCACUGAUAUAAAGUGGAUGAAAGGGAGUGCAAAUACAGGUUCCUUUUUCUCCAAAUUCCAUACUCUCUACCAGUGCUCUGGGACUGGUGAAGAAUUCUGGGCCACUAUCUCUGCAGUGUUACACAAGCAAGUGGCAGGAGAGGUGCCUCCACAAUGCAGCGCGCAGCUCCUCCUGGGCGUCAUUAGCAUGCAGCCUACGUUCUUCAAGAUGGCGCCCAGUUCAGCCUGUCAGCGAGUGAUCUAUGAUGUGUCACUUGUGCUAUUAACAGGCGUUUUCAAUUUCAGCAGCCUCAGCACAUUUAGUUCCUCUCCCAUGUGAUCACUGCUCUGUCCUCCAUUAAUAACCACUUUCAAACCCUUCUAGCACCCACCUGGGCAGUUCCCUCUCAUGCCUUCCUCACAGGGUAGGGCUGGACUCUUUGCCCAUGGGAGAUGAUUGGGAAUAAUCUCUGUCCUGUGGGGUGAGCUGAACAAGGGGCAACUGCUCUACACAUGUGGACCAUCAAUAUAUCUCUAUUAAUGAGUGAAUUAAUUAAAGACAGACACAAAAAAUGACUUUCUCGUUGGUGGAGAUUGUCUGUUGCUGAGAAAGGUGAUGUCAGCUCUCUGGAUGAGGCUGAGGAAGGAGAAAAGGAUGAAGAUGGAACAAGCCCUGCCUUGUCAAUGCUUAUGCUUAGAAAGACUGGGGAGACUUGCAUGACUAUGCAGUGAAGGGUCCCCAAAGGGGGCUUAAUCUGCCGACCCAUGAAGGAUAUCAAGCAUGACUGGGCCUGUUGUAACAUUUCAGAGAAUGUCAGCCAAUAAUAAUAAAAUCUUCUUCAUUCUACA
ensembl:lncRNA LINC02443 long intergenic non-protein coding RNA 2443